AUGGCUCCUUGCCGCGAACUUGACGGUGUCCAUGUGCGGAGGCAGGCGGAGGCCGACGUCGGCGAGCAGGCAGUGCAACGCAUUGACGGAGACGUGGUGGAGGUUAUUGGCGCCGAUCUGCUCCACCCACCUCAAGCUGACGAGAGGAAGAGGGAAGAUAGCUCAUUAGCUCUGCUAUGGCGCCAUGGCUGCCGGCCAGCGAGCGCCUCACCGCGGCUGCUGGCUGACGAGCACAGGGGAGCGCCUAGGGGGCGGCGAGGAGGCCGGAGGCGAAGGAGAGGGGCGGAGACCUUCUGCGCUGACCAGGUCACCGAUGAGCAGAGCCACAGCUGUCUCCCUCUUCCACCGGAUAAGGUGAACAAAGGAGUGCGGGCAGAGUUUUUUCAAAAUGAAGGGGCUACUUUGCAAAAACGAAUCAUUUUUCCCUUCACACUUGAAUAG
rnacentral:rRNA from 1 species